UGCCUACGGGAGGCAGCAGUAGGGAAUCUUCCACAAUGGACGAAAGUCUGAUGGAGCAACGCCGCGUGAGUGAAGAAGGGUUUCGGCUCGUAAAGCUCUGUUGGUAGGGAAGAAAGAUAGAGGUAGUAACUGGCCUUUAUUUGACGGUAAUUACUUAGAAAGUCAAGGCUAACUAAGUGCCAGGAGCCGCGGUAAUACGUAGGUGGCAAGCGGUGUCCGGGUUUAUUGGGCGGAAAGCGAGUGCAGGCGG
rnacentral:rRNA from 1 species